GACGGACGCUGGCGGCGUGCUUAACACAUGCAAGUCGAACGAAGAGCGAUGGAAGCUUGCUUCUAUCAAUCUUAGUGGCGAACGGGUGAGUAACGCGUAAUCAACCUGCCCUUCAGAGGGGGACAACAGUUGGAAACGACUGCUAAUACCGCAUACGAUCUAAUCUCGGCAUCGAGGAUAGAUGAAAGGUGGCCUCUACAUGUAAGCUAUCACUGAAGGAGGGGAUUGCGUCUGAUUAGCUAGUUGGAGGGGUAACGGCCCACCAAGGCGAUGAUCAGUAGCCGGUCUGAGAGGAUGAACGGCCACAUUGGGACUGAGACACGGCCCAGACUCCUACGGGAGGCAGCAGUGGGGAAUCUUCCGCAAUGGACGAAAGUCUGACGGAGCAACGCCGCGUGAGUGAUGACGGCCUUCGGGUUGUAAAGCUCUGUUAAUCGGGACGAAAGGCCUUCUUGCGAAUAGUGAGAAGGAUUGACGGUACCGGAAUGGAAAGCCACGGCUAACUACGUG
rnacentral:rRNA from 1 species